CACUGCCAUCUGGGCCUCGCUCCGGACUUGGACCAUGGCCUGAAUCUCAGCCUGACCCUCUACAACCACAGCAGGCCCCAUGCAUCUGACUUCUCUGGGGAGCUGGAACUCCGAGGCCCCACGGCCCAGUGGGUUGGCCUGCAGGGUUGGCUCUCCACCUCAGCUUCCCAAACCCUGGCCCAGCUGGAGGGCAGCACGAACAGAGCAGAGGAGAAGAGAAGGUGAGGCUGGCUGUGUCACGCAUCCCCAGCUGCCUCCAAGCCUCCGUGGCCCCCGAGGAUGGUAAGUGGAAGUGGCCAGGUCCUACUCAGCUAGCUGGGACAGGCCCCGCCAUGGUGCCAGAGAAGACAGGUGGGGUGCUGGGUGCUCAGAACCCUGAGGACCCUCUGUUAG
rnacentral:lncRNA from 1 species